rnacentral:rRNA from 1 species
UACGGGGGGGCAAGCGUUGUUCGGAAUUACUGGGCGUAAAGGGCGCGUAGGCGGCCUUCUAAGUCGAACGUGAAAUCCCCGGGCUCAACCCGGGAACUGCGUCCGAGACUGAAAGGCUUGAAUCCGGGAGAGGGAUGUGGAAUUCCAGGUGUAGCGGUGAAAUGCGUAGAUAUCUGGAGGAACAUCGGUGGCGAAGGCGGCAUCCUGGACCGGUAUUGACGCUGAGGCGCGAAAGCCAGGGGAGCAAACGGG